CGAACGAAGCACUUAUCUUUGAUUCUUCGGAUGAAGAGGUUUGUGACUGAGUGGCGGACGGGUGAGUAACGCGUGGGUAACCUGCCUCAUACAGGGGAAUAACAGUUAGAAAUGACUGCUAAUACCGCAUAAGACCACGGAGCCGCAUGGCUCCGUGGGAAAAACUCCGGUGGUAUGAGAUGGACCCGCGUCUGAUUAGGUAGUUGGUGGGGUAACGGCCUACCAAGCCAACGAUCAGUAGCCGACCUGAGAGGGUGACCGGCCACAUUGGGACUGAGACACGGCCCAAACUCCUACGGGAGGCAGCAGUGGGGAAUAUUGCACAAUGGGGGAAACCCUGAUGCAGCGACGCCGCGUGAGCGAAGAAGUAUUUCGGUAUGUAAAGCUCUAUCAGCAGGGAAGAAAAUGACGGUACCUGACUAAGAAGCACCGGCUAAAUACGUGCCAGCAGCCGCGGUAAUACGUAUGGUGCAAGCGUUAUCCGGAUUUACUGGGUGUAAAGGGAGCGUAGACGGCUGUGUAAGUCUGAAGUGAAAGCCCGGGGCUCAACCCCGGGACUGCUUUGGAAACUAUGCAGCUAGAGUGUCGGAGAGGUAAGUGGAAUUCCCAGUGUAGCGGUGAAAUGCGUAGAUAUUGGG
rnacentral:rRNA from 1 species